rnacentral:rRNA from 1 species
GUGGGGAAUCUUCCGCAAUGGACGAAAGUCUGACGGAGCGACGCCGCGUGAGUGAUGAAGGCCCUUGGGUCGUAAAGCUCUGUCAUCAGGGACGAACGGUCACGUCAGGAAAUGGGCGUGAAUUGACGGUACCUGAGAAGGAAGCCACGGCUAACUACGUGCCAGCAGCCGCGGUAAUACGUAGGUGGCGAGCGUUGUCCGGAAUUAUUGGGCGUAAAGCGCGCGCAGGUGGGAUCUUAAGUCUGUUCUGUAAGUUCGGAGCUUAACUCCGUGAUGGGAUGGAAACUGGGAUUGUUGAGUAUCGGAGAGGAAGGCGGAAUUCCCCGUGUAGCGGUGAAAUGCGUAGAUAUGGGGAGGAACACCAGUGGCGAAGGCGGCUUUCUAGACGAUGUCUGACACUGAGGCGCGAAAGCCAGGGGAGCGAACGGGAUUAGAAACCCGGGUAGUCC